rnacentral:rRNA from 1 species
GACGAACGCUGGCGGCGUGCUUAACACAUGCAAGUCGAACGGUGACGACAGGGCUUGCCUUGUCUGAUCAGUGGCGAACGGGUGAGUAACACGUGAGUAACCUGCCCCAGACUCUGGGAUAACCCCGGGAAACCGGAGCUAAUACCGGAUAUGACACCAAUCCGCAUGGGUAUGGUGUGGAAAGUUUUUCGGUCUGGGAUGGACUCGCGGCCUAUCAGCUUGUUGGUGAGGUAGUGGCUCACCAAGGCGACGACGGGUAGCCGGCCUGAGAGGGCGACCGGCCACACUGGGACUGAGACACGGCCCAGACUCCUACGGGAGGCAGCAGUGGGGAAUAUUGCACAAUGGGCGCAAGCCUGAUGCAGCGACGCCGCGUGAGGGAUGACGGCCUUCGGGUUGUAAACCUCUUUCAGCAGGGAAGAAGCGCAAGUGACGGUACCUGCAGAAGAAGCACCGGCUAACUACGUGCCAGCAGCCGCGGUAAGAC